rnacentral:rRNA from 1 species
AUAAGAAGUCUUACCUGCCCGGUGAUAAUAUUUUAAACGGCCGCAGUACUUUGACUGUGCAAAGGUAGCAUAAUAAUUUGCCUUUUAAUUAAAGGCUAGAAUGAAUGGUGUGUCAAGGAAAAUCCUGUCUCUAAUAAAUUUAAUAGAAUUUUAUUUUAAGGUGAAAAAGCCUAAGUUAAAUUAAUAGACAAGAAGACCCUAUCGAGCUUUAAAUAAACUAAUAUUUUAUUGUAUUAUUUAAAACUUAAGUUAUUAUAAGUUUUUGGUUGGGGCAACCAAGGAGUAUAAAAAGCCUCCUUUAAAAUUAAAUUAAAUUAAAUGAUCCAGACAAUUCUGAUUUAAAGAAAUAGUUACCGUAGGGAUAACAGCAUUAUUUUUUUAAAGAGUUCAUAUCGAAAAAAAAGUUUGUGACCUCGAUGUUGGAUCAAAAUUUCCUAAAGAUGUAGCAGUCUUUAAGGGUUAGUCUGUUCGACUAUUAAAAUUUUA